AGCGCUGCCUCCUCCAAGCCAGGAGGGGAAGGCGGGAGGGGAUCGGUUUACAUAAGUACUUUGCCAUAUGAAGAAAUAAUUUAGUGGUAUUAAUAGAGGUUAAAGUUUCCCAGGAAUCCCAAACAGGCCCCGCAGACACAGCCAUUUUUGCAGGGGCACAAGCUGGCAGCGAGACUGAAGCGGAGCUCCAGAACAAGCACUGAAGAAGGGAUCUGCACGAUGCUGGCAGCACACAUGCAUGCAAGCAUGGCCCAAGCACUAUUCUUGUUUGGGGCAGCGAGCAGUCGGCCCUGCAGGAACAUGCAUUGAGGCACAAGCUGCUCCCUGGAUGGAACGUGCACCAGGCAUGCUCUGUGAUGUGUGUGCAGAGCACUGCACAGAUCUGCACUGGAACCAGCUGAGUUUUCAGAGCACAGAUACCACGACCAACCUGGCAUCCCCUCCUGCUUCUGCAGGAUGUGCUGGCCAAUGCACAGCAAUGAAACACCACUGAUCUCUCCUGGGCCGCAGGACCUGAUUGCAGCUAACUGGAUAAAAUGGCACGGAGCACAGCAGGGGCUGGAAGCAGGAGACUAGCGAGCCUAAAUCCCCCUUUGUUUGGGUUGGGAUCUGAGAUAAUGUCGCUGAUUCUCAAACAUGGAGCUUUUUACAGCCCAGGGAAUUUGAGGCCACCCCAAAAAUAAUAAUCUCUCAAAGCUCAAGUGAUUGCAGAACACUCACCCUGCAAGGCAUGCGGUGCUGCGCUGCCUGGCACCAGUUUGGAGAUGGCCCACGGCCUCCUGAUCCCAGAUCUCAGAGCACGUGGCUGCUGUUCUGCCCCGGAAGGGACUAACAAAGAAACAAGAAUAUUUGUUAAUGUAUUUUUUUCCAUUGAGAAGCAGUUAAACCUCCUAAGACACUUUUUCCAGACAUCUAAAUCCUUUAAAAAUAUUCUCUAGACUCCAUAAAACUUACAUUUUCCCUGGGUUCUCCCGUGAGUUAUUAAAAAACUGAAGUCUCUACCUUAAGAGCUUAGAGUCUGGUCAUGAUCAGAAAACCAACUAUGUAGAAUGGCACCUUCUUGUGCAUUCAGAGACACGUCUACCGACUGAGCGGGG
ensembl:lncRNA